GACUAGAAGAUGGACACCAAGCAAGCCUGUCGAUAUUGUCACCACCUGGAAGUGGAACAGUGAGUAGUUUCCGAGCUAACUCUUUGAAAAAAGCUGGGAAACAAGUGGUUGAUUCCAUUUCCUUUGAGAGAUCCUUUAUCAUAAGGCCUCGUAGCAAAUUGAUGUUCAAAGGAGCUGGCCACCAAGCUAGAGGUGUGGAAGCUAACCGUGGAUCAUGAAUCACAUUAAUAGAUGCACCAUUACCAAUAUUCCAUUUAAUAUUUGCAAAAAUAAGAGGAACAUAGGAGUAGAUCUUCCUCCACACUGGGGAGAGACUUGGAGUAUAAACUGGGGGAGAGAACAGAUGAUGCACCAUAUAUUUCGCUCUUAAAAAAGAGCUCUAGAAUCCAUUCUCAUCCAAAAGAAAUCUUGCAGCAUGUUUAGCCAUCAAUGCCACACUCUUAGCAUACAGAGAGUGAAUUCCUAGACCAUCAUUCCGAAUAGGCUGACAUACAUGAUCCUAGGACAACAAAUGUACUUUUUUUGAAUUAUCAGCCCCAUAAGAAAUUUCUGAUAAGACACCCCAAUUUCAUAAGUACAACCCUAGGAAUAACCGAAUUGGACAUCAAAAGUAUAUAGGAGGAGCCAAUAGUAUUGACUCUACGCAUCAUAGAACGAACCUUUCAUUUCCAUUCCUUUGUUCUAUCCAAAAACUAUUGUACCAGACUACUAGUCAAUGGAAGAUGAUCUCUUACCAUAAAUAGGAAGCCCCAGGUGCUGCCAUGUACCAUCUGAUUCCUUAAUAUGUAGAUGAUUCUUAAUAUGCUGCUUGGUAGGGUUGUUUACUUUUGGACUGAGUUUUACCACAAGCUUUUCAAAAUUCACUCUUUGACCUGAGGCAUUAUGGUAGUCACCAAUGACGGUAGACAAAGCCCUAACAUUUGCCAAAGUGGCCUGGGCAAACAAUAUACAAUCAUCAGCAAAGAGAAGACGAGAAACAGUUACCCCUGUUCUAACUAGCUGGUACACAAACAAGAAGUUGGUCUCAUCCUUGAGAGUGCUUCUACACAAAUAAAUAAGGAGAUAGAGGUCGACCUUGUCUCAAACUAAUGGAAGAAUAGAAGGUCUCAGAGGGUGCUAUUAAUCAGAAUAGCAAAGGAAGGGGAUAUAAUACAACCCCUAAUCCAAUCAAUCCAUGCCGCUUGAAAGCCUAACAGUCAAAGAUAUGUGAAAAGGAAAUCCCAUCAAACUCUAUAUUUAUGCCCUCUCCAUAUGCAGCUUGAUUGCCAUAUAAUUGUGUUUGACGGGAGCUCUCUGGAAAUCAUACAUAAUUUCCUGGGCUAUAAGAUUGUUAUCAGAAAUACUCCUUCCUUUAAUAAACAUACCCUAUUCCAGAUUUAUCAGAGGAUGA
rnacentral:lncRNA from 1 species